UAUUUAGUCUAAGUAUAUGAUAAGAAAAAUUUAUCAUAUACUUAGACUAAAU
rnacentral:sRNA from 1 species